GGGUGACAGGGGCCAAGGCAGGGGCCGCCUGACCGGGGCCUCCAAAGCCGAAAGUCCCCCAUCCUCCGCUCCGCCCCUGUGCCGCAGGUGAACGGGCAGAACGUGGUGAAGGUUGGCCACCGCCAGGUGGUGAACAUGAUCCGCCAAGGGGGCAACACGCUCAUGGUGAAGGUGGUGAUGGUCACCAGGCACCCGGACAUGGACGAGGCCGUCCACAAGAAAGCACCCCAGCAGGCGAAGCGGCUCCCACCCCCGGCCAUCUCCCUGCGCUCCAAGUCGAUGACCUCCGAGCUGGAGGAGAUGGUCUCCCCCUGGAGGAAGAAGAGUGAGUAUGAGCAGCAGCCUGCGCCGGUGCCCAGCAUGGAGAAAAAGCGGACUGUGUAUCAGAUGGCUCUGAACAAACUGGACGAGAUCCUGGCUGCAGCCCAGCAGACUAUCAGCGCUAGCGAGAGCCCCGCUCCUGGAGGCCUGGCGUCCCUGGGCAAGCACCGGCCCAAAGGCUUCUUCGCCACCGAGUCAAGCUUCGAUCCCCACCACCGCUCCCAGCCAAGUUACGAGCGUCCUUCCUUCCUGCCUCCAGGACCCGGACUCAUGCUCCGCCAAAAAUCUAUCGGUAGGUCUUCAAGGGCCGGCCGGUGAGGACGGGAUCCUGCCCAGGAAGGCAAGUGUGCCCGUAAAUGUCUUAUGCUCAGGCCUGUGUCUGGGCAGAGCUUGGGGCCUGGAGCUGAGCGUCUGGGCUCCUCCUCUGGCAUCUAGAAAGCGGGGACAAGCCCUGUGCUCAGGCAUGGGCUGGGGCUCCCAACCUCAGCGCAGAGUUGAUAAGAGGCAGUGACUGAGGCCAGAUGCUGCAGGAAAGCGCAGUCCGAGAGUCGAGAGCCAAGGUCUGACCCUGAGAAACAGGCAGGCUCAGCUCCUCUAGCGCCCAGAGCUUUGCCCUUGUCUUUGCCCAUUGUUUUCCCGACUCCAGCGAACUCUGCUUUUUCUGUGUGGCAGCUGCUCCUAUAAACAGCCACAUCUCGGGCUGGGGAUGUAGCCCAGUGGUAGGGAGCUUGUCUAGCAAGCGUAAGGCCGCGAAAGGUUCAAUCCCCAAGCCAAAAGAGCUUGUCUGCUAUCUGCUACGCCUUGAGGGGUUGUACCUGUGAAAUCAUAGGCCCAGGAUCACCGCGAGCCCUUCCCAGCUCACCCCAAGGCGUCAAAGUAUGCGUUUGCCUUUGUGCAAAUUAGAACGGGGCGCCCUCUCGCGUCUGGAGGUGGAAAUUCAGCUGAAUUUCGCCCCCCCUCCCGCCUGCUCCCCCUGCUGUUUGCUGUUGAGC
rnacentral:lncRNA from 1 species